rnacentral:rRNA from 1 species
GCUGGCGGCACGCCUAACACAUGCAAGUCGAACGAAGUAGCAAUACUUAGUGGCAGACGGGUGAGUAACAUGUGGGUAUCUGCCCUUUGGCCUGGAAUAACACGAGGAAACUUGUGCUAAUACCGGAUAAGUCUUUACGGAGAAAGCUUUAUGCACCAUUGGAUGAGCCCGCACUUGAUUAGUUAGUUGGUAGGGUAAUGGCCUACCAAGACUGUGAUCAAUAGCUGAUUUGAGAGGAUGAUCAGCCACAUUGGGACUGAGACACGGCCCAAACUCCUACGGGAGGCAGCAGUGGGGAAUCUUGCACAAUGGAGGAAACUCUGAUGCAGCGAUGCCGCGUGAGUGAAGAAGGCCCUUGGGUUGUAAAGCUCUUUCGUCGGGGAAGAAAAUGACUGUACCCGAAUAAGAAGGUCCGGCUAACUUCGUGCCAGCAGCCGCGGUAAUACGAAGGGACCUAGCGUAGUUCGGAAUUACUGGGCUUAAAGAGUUCGUAGGUGGUUGAAAAAGUUGGUGGUGAAAUCCCAGAGCUUAACUCUGGAACUGCCAUCAAAACUUUUCAGCUAGAGUAUGAUAGAGGAAAGCAGAAUUUCUAGUGUAGAGGUGAAAUUCGUAGAUAUUAGAAAGAAUACCAAUUGCGAAGGCAGCUUUCUGGAUCAUUACUGACACUGAGGAACGAAAGC